UACGAAGGGGGCUAGCGUUGUUCGGAAUCACUGGGCGUAAAGCGUCUGUAGGUGGUGAUGCAAGUCACUGGUGCAAAACUCUGGCUCAACCGGAGGAAAGCCAGUGAAACUGCAUGACUAGAGUGUGGGAGAGGUAGAAGGAAUUCCCUGAGUAGCGGUGAAAUGCGUAGAUACAGGGAAGAACACCGGAGGCGAAAGCGUUCUACUGGAACACAACUGACACUGAGAGACGAAAGCUAGGGGAGCGAAUGGG
rnacentral:rRNA from 1 species